UACGGGGGGGGCAAGCGUUGUUCGGAAUUACUGGGCGUAAAGGGCUCGUAGGCGGCCAACUAAGUCGGACGUGAAAUCCCCAGGCUCAACCUGGGAACUGCGUCCGAUGCUGGAUGGCUUGAAUCCGGGAGAGGGAUGCAGAAUUCCAGGUGUAGCGGUGAAAUGCGUAGAUAUCUGGAGGAAUACCGGUGGCGAAGGCGGCAUCCUGGACCGGCAUUGACGCUGAGGAGCGAAAGCCAGGGGAGCAAACGGG
rnacentral:rRNA from 1 species